rnacentral:RNase_P_RNA from 2 species
GGACGACUGCUGCCGCAAGGUAGAGGAAAGUCCAUGCUCGCACCGCCUGUGACGACGGUAGUGAUUGCGCUGGGGGAAUCAAUAACCCCAGGCACGCGGGAGCGCGUGACGGCGGAGGAACUCCUCUAGCAGGAGGGAAUCCCUAAGGUGCCACAGAGACGAGCUUGAUGGCGACAUCAAGAUGAAACGAGGCAAACCCCACAAGCGAGAAACCCAAAUUUGGUAGGGGAAGCGCCCAAUCCGAACCGAAGGAGAGGGAGCCGGCGAAUGCCGAGAUAAAUUGUCGUCCUAGACAAAACAUGGCUUAUAG